rnacentral:snRNA from 1 species
GGAUGUGACCUGGCUGUCAUAUCUGUCACCCCUUUGCUUGCCAGUGUUGAUCUGGAGGCCCUGACAGGCCAAGUGGGUGUCCCCUUGCCCCUCACUGCCCCAUUUGUCUCUCCCGAGCCUCGUGUUCAGGAAGGACGGCCUUCCCCACGAGAGGGACCCUCUUCCUUAGGGCCCAGGAGUAGCUGCGCCUGCCUGCAGGGCCUCCGCACGGCCCUCAGGUACACUUAUGGGGGAGCAUCUGGCAGUCGGGCUUCUAAGACCUGACCCAGAUACCCAGCUGAGGCGCAGUGUGGCAGUCGCCUUUCUUU